AAUAAAAGAUAAAAUAAGAGAAAAUAACAAACAAGACAGACAGACAAACAGGCAAACAAACAAAGACAGACAGACACAGACAUUAUUUAGUGUCCGGGGUGACGGGGCAGGGGCGGGCACAGCAGGCGGGGAGCAGCACCGCCAUGCUUCACCCCGCGCUCACACCGGAAGCUUUAACGUGCUGACCCUCCCACCGAUCACAUUGCUGGUUAACUUAUAUACUGGGCGGUGGUUGGUGACCCUUACGUGGCGACAGGGAACGCUUUGGGUACAUUCAGGUGUUAGGCGAGGCAAGGCAGGUGACAGGUCUGGCGGUAAGAAGCAAUAGGUAUCGAAUCGGGUUCCCUCAGGUGAUGUAAGGUGAGGCUUCGCAGGGCAGGUAAGGUGACAGGUCUGGAUAUAGUGUUAAGUAGCGACAGGUAACGAUUCGGGUUUGUUUCGGUGAUGUUAGUUGACGCAGGGCAGGUAAGGUGAUGUUAGGUGACGCAGGGCAGGUAAGGUGACAGGUUUGGGUAUAGAGUUCUUACGUGGCGGCAGGUAACGAUUUGGGUUCCUUCAGGUGAUGUUAGUAAAGGCUUCGCAGGUAAGGUAGGGUGACAAGUCUGGGGGAUGUUUUGUGUUUAAAUAGCAAGAGGUAACAAUUUGGGUUCCUUCAGGUGAUGUUAGUGAGUCAGGUGAGGUGACAGGUUUGGGUAUAGUGUUGGUAAGUAGAAAUAGGUAACGAUUUGGGUUCCUUCAGGUGAUGUUAGUGAGUCAGGUAAGGUGACAGGUUUGGGUAUAGUGUUCUUACGUAGCGACAGGUAACGAUCGGGUUUGUUUAGAUGUUAGGUGAGGCAGGUAAGGUGAGGUGACAGGUCUGGCAGAUGUCUUGUCUUUACUUGCCACUGUGAAGGAGGAGGAGGAGGAGGAGGCGGCGUGACAUCAUAAGCAAGUCUUCAAUUAAUGCAGUCAGUCAAAACCCACUCGAAAAACAACUCAUCUCUCCAUUAUGAAUUAAAUUGUUCAGCUUUGCCUUUUUCUUCUUACAAGUUAAAUUCUUCCUUGUCUUCUACUUCUUUAUUUAUUUUUAUUUUUCAUCUUCUUGGUUGGUAAUUGGGCAUCUCUGUAAAUCUGCACUUUUCGAUUAUGGUACUAUUUUUUUGUAAUCCAUUUUUCUAUAUGACUCUGAGCGAAAGGAAAAGUAAAGUAGGGGGCUUACGCUAAAGCUGCGCGUGGCCUCGGUGCUCAUCUCCGUCGCACUGGCCCUUGAGCCUGUGGUAGGUGAGAGUCCAUCACCCCGGGGCACAGGGCAGGUGUGACAUCCGGGUUACCAACGAUUACCAUCCCCAGGUGUUCCCAGGUACCCAUACAUCGACCAGCCGGAAAGGGAGGAUGAACAGCUGGGUGGGCUAAACGCAGGCUACCAGGCCGGGAUUCGAACCUAGGCCCGCGCGGAUUCGUAGCUAGGCACGCUAACCACUGCACUAUUAUUAUUAUUAUUAUUAUUAUUAUUAUUAUUAUUAUUAUCAUUACUAUUAUUAUUAUUAUUAUUAGUCGUACUGAACCUAUACCAGCCCUUUCCCUUCCUCCGCCCCGGCCGGCACGAGCAGCGGGGAGGGACAAGGAGGCGGGCGGCAGGUGGGGGACAUCGGGACGGCGGGCACGUCACCACAAAGCGCCUCUCAUCUCCUUGCGGCCAUGACGUCAGCCCAGGCCAGGAGGAGCCGCGCUGCUCUUCAACACCACAACCGCACGACCCCCGAUGCUCACUUCCCGACCCAUUCUAAAACGUUUCACGGCCCACACACUAACCCACAUUAGAGGAGACUUCCGUAGAGGUUGUGUUAGUGUUUCCAUGGGUAGUUUUGUGAGCCUACUGAUAGUCUGACAAGGCUUUUGCACCAUGAACGUGAAAAAAAAACAUUAAAGAGAACAAGACUAUUCUCCUGUGCCAUGAACUUUAAAAAAAAUAAAAACACAUAAGAGAACCUGACUGCUCUUCUUUUUGGUCUUUGCAAACACACACACACACACACACACACACACACACACACACACACACACACACACACACACACAGAUAGAUAAUAGCGCAAUUAGAUACUCGUAGAUUGAAAGUUAGAGAGA